rnacentral:rRNA from 1 species
UACGGGGGGGGCAAGCGUUGUUCGGAAUUACUGGGCGUAAAGGGCUCGUAGGCGGCCAUGCGUGUCUUCCGUGAAAUCCCUCGGCUUAACUGAGGACGUGCGGAAGAAACUGCAAGGCUCGAGUCCGGGGAGAGGGGGGUGGAAUUCCCAGUGUAGCGGAUGAAAUGCGUAGAUGAUUGGGAGGAACACCGGUGGCGAAGGCGGCCCCCUGGACCGGUACUGGACGCUGAGGUGCGAAAGCGUGGGG